rnacentral:rRNA from 1 species
ACGGAAGGCAGCAGUAGGGAAUAUUGCACAAUGGGGGAAACCCUGAUGCAGCGACGCCGCGUGAGUGAUGAAGUAUUUCGGUAUGUAAAGCUCUAUCAGCAGGGAAGAUAAUGACGGUACCUGACUAAGAAGCCCCGGCUAACUACGUGCCAGCAGCCGCGGUAGUACGUAGGGGGCAAGCGUUAUCCGGAUUUACUGGGUGUAAAGGGAGUGUAGGUGGUUUGGCAAGCCAGAUGUGAAAGCCCGGGGCUCAACCCCGUGGACUGCAUUUGGAACUGUUAAACUUGAGUGCAGGAGAGGAAAGUGGAAUUCCUAGUGUAGCGGUGAAAUGCGUAGAUAUUAGGAGGAACACCAGUGGCGAAGGCGGCUUUCUGGACUGUAACUGACACUGAGGCUCGAAAGCGUGGGGAGCAAACAGGAUUAGAUACCCUGGUA